UGCCAGGAUUUUAUUUUUUUUUGUCCUGCUGGUGAUUUUGUUGUGUGUCCGUGAGCUUGGGCACAGCCACCUCCCCUGUGCAAGGAGAGAAGUCCCUUCCAGGAGAGCUGGGAGAUCUGUUCCUCCUCUGGACUGCAUUUCCCCAGGACUGGGACUCAUCCCCACUUGCAGGUGAGGAAUAAAGCUCAAGCUCACUCCCUCUCUCCUCAGAGGGACUGGCCUUGGGGUUAAAACAAAUUCCACCCUCAUGGCCUGCACCAAAUGACCCUGGGGGAGGUGGGAGGAGAGAGAUGCUCCUCUGGAUGGGAAAGAGCUCCUGGGCAAAUCCAUUUCCAGGGCAUCUUCCAUGGGCUGUGCUGGAGAUGGGAACAAGACAAGGCCCUGCCUGGGGCUACUGUGCCAAGGUCAAGCAGCCACAGAAACCCUUGUGGCAUCUUUGAAUCUUGUUUGUCCUCAAGGUAAGGCAUGGGAGGAAGUUUUCUGCUAGAAGAAUUAAGAAAAAAAAGAAGAAGAAGUGUUUGGUUGUUCAGCUGCAAUGUGUUCAGUGCUGCAUGAUGGGAACAUCCCUGCCAAAAGAAGAGAGGCUGGAAGAAAAAAUCUUCCCCAAAGAGUCAGUGAGACCUAAUCAAACUUCAUCAGUGUUCACUUGCCCAGACAAACAGGACCAGAAUAUUAAACUGACAAAGGAGCAGAGGGAAACCUAAUUUCACCAGUUUUCUCUGUGUUACAAAACAGAAUGAGGGAGUCAAUUGAUUUUCCUGGAGCUGGUUGUGUUUAAAAUGUAUGGGAGGGAAGGGAAGAGCCAGGGUACAGGCUGGAAGUAAUCUGCCCCUGGAAUAUCAGUCAGUGCUGAUAUCCCCCUGCCCUCCUAAAAUAGCUUAGGAAAAGGUAAAAAUAAAUUUAAAAAUGAAAGAUUCCUGCUAGCAAGGCCGUGUUGGAGGAUGGAGGGAAAGCAAAUUCUGGGAUUUGCUGUGGAGGCAGUGAGCUGCCUGGUGCCCUGAUGUGCUGGGAGAGGUAAGAGACAGCUUUUUGGGGAAAACUCACUGAACACACUGAACACAGGGGAAAAAAAAGUCUGGGCUUCUUGUUGGGCUGCUGGCAUUCCUGUCUGCUCUCUGUUCCUGACAAAGGGUGGGGAGAACAAGGGGAAUGAAGAGCUCCUAGCGGGGAAAAUGGGGAAUAAAAGGCCCCCACCCCAAAUGUCAGAGGGGAAAAUCAGCUGAGCUCAGGCUGUUUUCCUGUGCUGGGGUUGGAGCAGUGCCUGUCUGAGCUGAGCCUUGCUGCAGGAUGGAAAAUCAGCUCCAACGUGGCUCUGCUGAGGGACCCUUCACCCCUCAGCUGCUGUUCCAGCUCUCCCUCUCAUCCAACAUGGAUAUGAACCAACUCAAAGCAGUUGAAAUAAUUUUUGGGGGUACAGAUUGGACUCAGAUGUAGAGCUGUGGUCAGCUCAGAUGCCAGAGGCAGGGAAAAUCCCUGUGGAAACUGCAGCUGUAGGAGUGAAAAUGAUAAUAAUGCUCACAGCAGUGGAGCUCCCCACCAGCACCAGAGAGGGUGGAAAUGGGAACAGCAAAGAAACCUUCUGUGGGCUGGACUGGGUGAGGUUUUCCUUUUCCACCUGUAAAAAAGCAGGACUUGGAUGGCAAAGCAGCUCCAUUGAAGCUCCAGGGCAGUGCCUUUGAACCUAGCACUGUUUAAUGCUAAUCCUGUAACUUUAUAUAGAUGGGCUUUUUUUUUUUCUCCCCCCCUUUACACAAAGGAGGAAGGGGCUCAAUUCUUCUGAGGGUUGGGUUUUCUGUUCCCUGAGCAGCAGAGCUGCGAGCCCAGCUCUGUCUCUCUGGCAUUUCCAUCUGAAUCCAUCUGAAGGGGGUGAGCUUUUGGGGAAGAAAGAGGCUUCUCUCCCUCUCCAGGCCAGAAUCUGAUCUCCAGAUUAGCCUGCUGGUUAUCAACAGAGGAGCAACAGUUGUGAUUGCAACUCAACACUGCUCCAGCCCUGGAGGAGCAUUGAGGAAAAGGGAGUUUUCAAUUGGGAGAGCAAAGGGCUGAGCCAUCGUUUCGGUCAGCAGCAAUAAUUGGCAUGGCAGCACGGGCAUGCAUUCCCCAUUGACAUAGGAUUUCUCCCUGCUCUACCAAGACUGGGCUAAAAUUUCAGACCUGAUUGCUCCUCUAGCCUACAAACAGGAUGAACAAGAGAUCAUUUCUGGGAGCCUGGGUGGCCCUUUUGGUGAUAGCAGCACAGCAGCGAGCUCACACCAUGGCAAGCCUGUACCCAUACUGGCAGAACGACACCAAAACCCCCAAAGUGGACGAUGGCAGCUCCCCUGAAAUCAAGAUCUCUGUGCCAUUCAUCUUUUUUGGAGCCCAAUACAGAAGCAUUUAUGUCAACAACAAUGGAGUGAUCUCCUUCAACGCCCUGGUCAGCCAGUUCACGCCCGAGGCCUUCCCGCUGACCGACGGCCGCGCCUUCGUGGCGCCCUUCUGGGCCGACGUGCACAACGGCAUCCGCGGGGAGAUCUUCUACAGGGAGAGCACGGAGCCAGAGCUGCUCCUCAGGGCCUCCAGGGACAUCCGCAGGCACUUCAGGGACAUGGCCUCCUUCUCUGCCCGCUGGCUCUUCAUCGUCACCUGGGAGGAGGUCACCUUCUACGGGGGGAGCAGCACGACGCCGGUGAACACGUUCCAGGCUGUCCUGAUCACAGAUGGGGUGUCCUCCUUUGCCCUGUUUAACUACCACGAGAUCAGCUGGACCACGGGCACAGCCAGCGGAGGGGACCCCCUCACUGGUCUCGGCGGGGUGAUGGCUCAGGCUGGCUUCAAUGGUGGAAAUCUCACCAACUUUUUCAGCAUGCCAGGCUCCAGAACCCCAGACAUUGUCAAUAUUGAGGAAACAACCAACGUAAACGUCCCUGGGCGCUGGGCUUUCAAAAUAGAUGGCAGAGAAAUAGACCCGGCCAACGGCUGCAGCCUGAGAGGACAGUUUCUCCGCCAAGGGGAGAUCUUUUGGGACAACUCCAACUGCACCACCAAGUGCCGCUGCCUGGACUUCAACAAUGAGAUCCUCUGCCAGGACAUGGCCUGUGGCCCCUUCGAGGCGUGUGAGACGAAGAGCAAAUUCUUCCAGUGCGUGCCGGUGGAGAGCAGCACCUGCGUGGUGUUCGGAGAUCCACAUUACCACACCUUCGACGGCUUCCUCUUUCACUUCCAGGGUUCCUGCUCCUACCUCCUCGCCAGGCAGUGCUGGCCAGGCUCCCAGCUGCCCUACUUCAACGUGGAGGCCAAGAAUGAGAACCGAGGCGGCUCCUCCGUCUCCUGGCUGAGGGAUAUUUAUGUGGAGGUCUACUCGCACAAGAUUGUUCUCCCCAGGGGCGGCUUUGGGAAGGCAAAGGUGGACGAUCUGGUGGUGUCCCUGCCCAUCUCCUUGGAACUGGGUGCAAUCAAGGUCUACCAAAGCGGGCUGUCCACUGCCCUGGAGACUGACUUUGGCCUGCUGGUGACCUACGAUGGGCAGCACUACGCCUCCGUGUCCGUGCCGGGCUCCUACAUCAACGCCACGUGCGGGCUGUGCGGCAAUUACAACAAAGACCCCGAGGACGACGUGCUGCGCUCAGAUGGGAGGGUGGCCACGUCCGUGCCAGAGCUGGGGGAGAGCUGGCAGGUGCCACACCCCGAGCGCAGGUGCUCCACGGGCUGCCUGGAGAACUGCAGCCUCUGCGACCCCGCCACCGAGGCGCUCUAUUUCACCCCCGACUACUGCGGCUUCAUCAACAAGAGCGGAGGGCCCCUCUGGGAGUGUGGCUCUGUGCUGGAUCCCACUGCCUUCAUCCACAGCUGUGUCUACGACCUCUGCAGCGCCAAGGACAAUGGCACCGGGCUGUGCCAGGCCAUCCAGGCAUAUGCCACCGUGUGCCAGGCCCUGGGCAUCUCGGUGGGAGAGUGGAGGAGCCAGACGGGAUGUGCGGCGGCCGUGCAGUGCCCAGAGCUCAGCCAGUACUCGGUGUGUGCCAGCAGCUGCCCUGCCACCUGCUCAGACCUCACAGCCCCCCUGGCCUGCACCUCGCCCUGCACCGAGAGCUGCGAGUGCCCCGAGGGCCACGUGCUCAGCGCCGACCGCUGCGUCCCCGUCCAGGGCUGCGGCUGCGACGUCAACGGCCGCUACUACGCCGUCGGGGAGUCCUUCUGGGCAUCCCCAGACUGCACUGUGCACUGCCACUGCCAGGCUGGAGGGGAGGCCAGCUGCUUCAACACCACCUGCCCCGAGGGAGAGAUCUGCACCAUCGAGAACGGCUACCGGGGGUGCUACCCGAAGAGGGAGACUGUGUGUUUGGUGGGGCAGGACCAGGUGCUGCAGACCUUUGAUGGCAUCACCUUCCCCUACCCGCUGGAGCAGUCCUACACACUGCUCAAGACCUGCCCAGAGAGGCCAGACUUCAUCGAGGUGGACAUCAACCAGAAGAAGGUUGGCUCUGCUCCCAACGGGCCGCGCGUCGUGCGGGUCCAGGCUGCUGGCCAAGAGGUGAAGAUUGGAGGCACCAGGCUGUCGGACAUUAAGGUGAAUGGAUAUGACGUGGACCUGCCCUAUUUCCACCACUCUGGGCGCCUGGAAAUCUACCGGACUGACAACAGCACCGUGAUGGAGUCUGAGGGGCUCCUGGCCAUCAGCUACUACGACUCUGGGCUCCUGGAGAUCCGCCUGUCCACCUCCUACUUCAACUGCACCGGGGGCCUCUGCGGCCUCUUCAAUGACAACGCCACCGACGAGUUCUCCCUGCCCAAGGGCAAGUUCACGGAAAACCUGGAGCUCUUCCUGGAGAGCUGGACCACCUUUGAUGAGAUCUGCAAUGGCGAGUGCGGGGACCUGCUCAUGGCUUGCAACAACGACUCGGAGCUGCUCAAGUCCUACAGGAGCCGCUCCAGCUGUGGCAUCAUCAAUGACCCCACCAACAGCUCCUUCCUGGAGUGUCACAGCGUGGUCAACGUCUCAGCCUACUACAGGACGUGCCUCUUCCGCCUGUGCCAGAGUGGGGGGAACGUGUCGGAGCUGUGUGACUCGGUGGCACGCUACGCCAGCGCCUGCAAGAACGCCGACGUGGACAUCGGCCAGUGGAGGAGCCACAGCUUCUGCCCUCUCUCCUGCCCGGAGAACAGCCACUUUGAGGAGUGCAUGAGCUGCGUGGAGACCUGCGAGAGCCUGGCCUCAGGCCCCGUGUGCAGGGACACCUGCUCGGAGGGCUGCCAGUGCGACGAGGGCUUCGCCCUGCGCGGCACCCGCUGCAUCCCCCGCCGCGAGUGCGGCUGCAACUUUGAGGGCCGCCAGCUGGCCACCAACCAGACCUUCUGGAUGGACAUCUCCUGCCACUUCCUGUGCUACUGCAACGGCUCGGACAACAGCGUGUACUGCGAGAACGUGUCCUGCAAGGACGACGAGUAUUGCCUGGAGGAGAACGGCCUCUACUACUGCCAUGUCCGCACCGACGCCUCCUGCAUCAUCUCGGGCUAUGGGCACUACCUGACCUUUGAUGGCUACUCCUUCGACUUCCAGAGCAGCUGUGAGCUGGUGCUGGUCACCAGCAUCUCCCGGCCCAGGGUGGAGCGCUCGGACACGUUCCCAGUGUUCACUGUCACGGCCAAGAACGAGGAUCGGGACACCUCUCUGGCCCUGUGGGUGAAGCAGGUGGAAGUGGAGGUCUUCAAUUACAGGAUUGUCAUCCACCGUGCCUACAAAUACACCGUGCUGAUCAACGACGAGCGUCUCUACCUGCCCCUGAAGCUGGGCCAGGGCAAAGUGAACAUCUUCGCCUUUGGUUUCCACAUCGUGGUGGAGACAGACUUCGGGCUGAAGGUGGUGUACGACUGGAAGACCUUCCUGUCUGUCACCAUCCCACGGGGCUUCCAGAACCUCACCUAUGGCCUCUGUGGCCGCUACAAUGGCAACCCUGAGGACGACCUGGUGGCUGCAGGGGGGACACCGGCCUCCAGCAUCAGUGACUUUGUGCAGAGCUGGGCCAAGCGGGACGCGUUCUGCCGCGUGGGCUGCGGCGACCGCUGCCCGGCCUGCGGCAAGGUGGAAGGAUUCUGGAAGCCCCAGCAGCUCUGCAGCCUCAUCCCCAGCCAAAGUGGUGUCUUUGCCAAGUGCCACAGCAAGAUCAACCCCGGCUUCUUCUACAAGAACUGCCUCUUUGACACCUGCGUGGAUGGGGGGGCCAUGCAGACAGCCUGCAGCUGGCUGCAGAACUAUGCCAGCACAUGCCAGACUCAGGGCAUUGCCAUCACUGGCUGGAGGAACUUCACCUCGUGCUCUGUCAGCUGUCCCCCCAACAGCCACUACGAGAGCUGUGUGUCGCUGUGCCAGCCCCGAUGCGCGGCCAUCCGCCUGAAGAGCGACUGCAGCCACUACUGCGUGGAGGGCUGCCAGUGUGACCCUGGCUACGUCCUCAAUGGCAAGAGCUGCAUCCUGCCCCACAACUGUGGCUGCUACUCUGAUGGCAAAUAUUACGAGCCCAAGCAGCUCUUCUGGAGCGGGGACUGCACCCGGCGGUGCCGCUGCUUCCGGCGCAACCUGAUCCAGUGCGACCCGCGGCACUGCAAGUCCGACGAGGAGUGCGGGCUGCGCAACGGCGUCCGCGGCUGCUUCAGCACCCGCAGCUCCUUCUGCCUGGCGGCCGGCGGCGGCGUCUUCCGCACCUUCGACGGCGCCUUCCUGCGCUUCCCCGCCAACUGCGCCUUCGUCCUCUCCACCAUCUGCCAGAAGCUGCCCGACUUCUCCUUCCAGCUCAUCAUCAACUUCGACAAGUGGUCCUCGCCCAACCUCACCAUCAUCUCCCCUGUGUACUUCUACAUCAACGAGGAGCAGAUCCUCAUCAGCGACAGGAACACUGUCAAGGUGAACGGAAGCCUCGUGAGCAUCCCCUUUGUCACGGGGCUGUCCACCAAGAUCUUCAGCCAGGAGGGCUUCCUGGUCAUCGACUCCAGCCCCGACAUCCAGAUCCGCUACAACGGCUUCAAUGUCAUCAAAAUCACCAUCGGGGAGCGGCUGCAGAACAAGGUGUGCGGCCUCUGCGGCAACUUCAACGGCGACCGCACCGAUGACUACGCCACGCUGCGGGGCAAGCCGGCCGUCAGCAGCGUGGUGCUGGCACAGAGCUGGAAAACCAACGGCAUGCAGAAGAGCUGCAACGAGCUGCAGUACUCACAGUACGCCGCCUCCUGCGACAACGUCCAGAUCCAGGAGCUGCAGAGUGACAGCUACUGCCUGAAGCUGACUGACAUGAAAGGCUUCUUCCAGCCCUGCUACGGCCUCCUGGAUCCUCUGCCUUUUUAUGAGUCCUGCUUUCUGGAUGGCUGCUACAACCACAAGAAGGUCCAGCUGUGCGGCUCACUGGCUGCCUACGGAGAGGCCUGCAGGACCUUUGGCAUCCUGGGCACCGACUGGAUCGAGAAGGAGAAUUGCUCAGGAGUGGUGGAAGAUCCCUGCGUGGGUGCCGACUGCCCCAACCGCACCUGCGAGCUGGACAACGGUGGGGAGCUGUGCGGCUGCAUCGAGCCCCCGCCCUAUGGGAACACCACCCAUGACAUCAUUGAUGCGGAGGUGACCUGCAAGGCUGCCCAAAUGGAGGUGUCCAUUUCGAAGUGCAAGCUGUUCCAGCUGGGCUUUGAGCGCGAGGGCGUGCGGGUCAACGACCGCCACUGCCCCGGCAUCGAAGGGGAGGACUUCAUCUCCUUCCAGAUCAACAACACCAAAGGCAACUGUGGCAACCUGGUGCAGUCCAACAGCACUCACAUAGUGUACAAGAACACGGUGUGGAUCGAGAGUGCCAACAACACGGGCAACAUCAUCACCCGGGACAGGACCAUCAACGUGGAGUUCUCCUGUGCCUAUGAGCUGGACAUCAAGAUCUCCCUGGACUCAGUUGUGCGGCCAAUGCUCAGCGUGAUUAACCUGACGGUGCCGACGCAGGAAGGGAGCUUCACAACCAAGAUGGCCCUGUACAAGAACUCAUCCUACAAGCACCCGUACCGGCAGGGCGAGGUGGUGCUCACCACCCGGGACGUGCUCUACGUGGGGGUCUUUGUGGUGGGGGCCGACUCCAACCACUUGAUCCUGAUGCUGAACAAGUGCUACGCCACCCCCUCGCGGGACAGCAACGACAAACUGCGCUACUUCAUCAUCGAGGGAGGGUGCCAGAACAUGAAGGACAACACCAUUGGCAUCGAGGAGAAUGGGGUGUCCCUGACGUGUCGCUUCCACGUCACCGUCUUCAAGUUCAUCGGGGACUACGACGAGGUUCACCUGCACUGCGCCGUGUCCCUCUGUGAUUCUGAGAAAUACUCCUGCAAAAUCAACUGCCCUCAGCACACGAGGAUGGCCAGUGCCUUCGGCGAGGAGUCCAAGGAGCAGAUCCUCUCAGUGGGACCUAUCAGGAGGAAGAGAUCAGACUGGUGCGAGGACAACGGAGGCUGUGAGCAGAUCUGCACGAGCCGGGCGGACGGGCCCUUGUGCAGCUGCGUGACAGGGACACUGCAAGGGGACGGCAAAAGCUGCAGGGCCUCCAGCUCUUCAGGGGAGCACCGUGCCCGAGUGACCCUGCUGCUGGCGGCCCAGCUGUGGCUGUGGCUGCGCUCAGCUCCGCGGCCCCUGCCCUCGUAGGCGCGGCCCCGCCGCCCAGCCAAAAACUGUUCUCGCGUCAGCCGGAGUCUUUGUAGGGUAGGAGACAGCCCCCCCCUGCCAUGGCCACGCCGCUGCCCACCCGGCCAUGCAAGGGAUGUCACCUGAGAGAGAGGUGGGACGCGGAGCCGGCGGUGACGCGCGGCCGGCACGGCGGCAGCGACGGCUGGAGCAGGAUGUUGGUGUUUGCCAGCAGCCACGUGGCACUGGGGUUUGGGGGUUUUUUUUUGCAGCUUUCCAUCAUUGAUGUGGACUCAAGGAGGGGUUUUGCAGCUUUUCCCCAGGCUCUCCUUUGUGGGGUGAUGAGGUGGCCCACACCACUGUUAGUGUGGGACAGGGUGGAGCAUGUGCUGUCCCCUCACGUCUCCACUGUCCUUGGGAGCUGCCACCAGGGUCUUAUGAGCUCACAGACUCCAGCAGAGGUAGGUGUUGGGCACAGGUCAUGGCCAGACAGUGCAUUGCCAUCUCUGCAUGGUGUGACACCUUGGGACCGUGUCACCCUCUGACUCUCCAGAGCAGAGGUGGUGCUGAGGUUUGGUUCAGAGAGCCAAGCUCAUCCAUGGGGGUCUGGAAAUCUUGGCAUUGUGCUGUGGUGGUGACAAGCUGGUGCCAAUAAUUGGAACCAGGUGCUUUCUGGUGGGCAGGAACAAGAAUCAGAGGAAGGAUUAAAUUCUCUGCCAUGUUUGUGUGGUGUGCAAGGGUCAGAGCAGGGUUGGGGUCUGUGGGCCCAGGGCAGCAUUGGGGUGCUGGUGAAAGAGUGGGGAGCAGCCUUGGGGUGCUGGUGGGUGUGGGGGGGCUGUGUUGGUGUCUUGUCUUGUGUUUGUACUCUGUGAAACGGCUGCGUGGGAAUAAAAAGUGUUGUAAUCCUUGGUAAGCACCGGCUCCUGUGUGGUGGGGGUGAGGAGCAGCAGGGCCUGGCAGGACACCAGGGCUGCCCAGAGUCCCUGGGAGGGAUGGACGGGGAGUUUUGGGGUGCCAGGCAGGGGCACAGCAGAGCUGAGGACACAGGUUGUGGCUGGAGUGUGGGUCUGGCAGGUUUGCCAUGGAGUGGGCUGGGAUGCAGGGCAGAAGGAGCGGAGGAGAUUUGGGCUCUGGGGCAGGAGGGCAGCUGGUUCCUCUGCCUCGAGACAAGAGGUGGGUAACAGAAUGCCAUGGACUCUGCUCUGCCAGUUCUCUGCCUCUCAGCCCCCUCUCUGUGCCCUCUGUGUGUGUGUCAGCUCGGAAUUCUCUCCUUCACCCCUCUUUGCUCCCUGUCACUGCCUCUCUACUCUCUGCUGCCUCAUUCCCCCAUCUCUGCUCCCUCUGUCCUCACUCUUCCCUCUCUCUGUGCUUCUUUCCCAUCCCUCUCCUGUCCCUGCUCUCUGCUCCUUCUCAGUGUCACUCUCAGCUGGCUCCAGUGUCUCUGUCUCUUUGCCCUCUCUCCCCCAUAUUUUCCCUCUGCUCUCUCUGCCUCUGUGCCCCCUGCACCUCCCUCUUUGCUCUCCAGGUCUCCCAUCUCCCUCUCCAGUCUCUCUUUGCCCCUGGCCACGUCUCCCACCCUCAUUUCAGCAUUAAUUCCUGAACUGCUGAAGAUGGCAGCAGUGUGGCUGUGCUGCACCCCAGGGAGCUGCCUGGGGGCUCUGGGGGACACCCCGAGGAUGGAGAGGAUCCCCCAGGCACUGGAGGGGCUGAUGGUGCUGGUGGCCUUUGGUGGCUGAGCAGGGUUUGGCAGAUUGUCCAAAGAGUGAUGGUGACAGGAGAGCCUGAGUGUGGGGACCACACUGACCACAGCACUGACCACAGCACUGACCACAGCACUGACCACAGGCCUGACCACAGCACUGACCACAGCACUGCCACAGCACUGACCACAGAACUGACCACAGCACUGACCUCGGCACUGACCACAGCACUGACCACAGCACUGACCACAGCACUGACCACAGAACUGACCACAGCACUGACCACAGCACUGACCACAGAAUUGACCACAGCACUGACCACAGCACUGACCCCAGCACUGACCCCAGCACUGACCACAGGCCUGACUACAGCACUGACCACAGGCCUGACCACAGCACUGACCACAGCACUGACCACAGCACUGACCACAGAACUGACCACAGCACUGACCACAGCACUGACCCCAGCACUGACCCCAGCACUGACCCCAGCACUGACCCCAGCACUGACCACAGGCCUGACUACAGCACUGACCACAGGCCUGACCAUAGCACUGACCACAGCACUGACCACAGCACUGACCACAGCACUGACCACAGGCCUGACCACAGGCCUGACCAUAGCACUGACCACAGCACUGACCACAGCACUGACCACAGGCCUGACCACAGGCCUGACCAUAGCACUGACCACAGCACUGACCACAGAACUGACCACAGCACUGACCACAGAACUGACCACAGGCCUGACCACAGCACUGACCACAGCACUGACCACAGCACUGACCACAGAACUGACCACAGGCCUGACCACAGGCCUGACCACAGCACUGACCACAGCACUGACCACAGCACUGACCUCAGCACUGACCACAGAACUGACCACAGCACUGACCACAGCACUGACCACAGCACUGACCACAGCACUGACCUCAGCACUGACCACAGCACUGACCACAAGCCUGACCACAGCACUGACCACAGCAUUGACCACAGCACUGACCACAGGCCUGACCACAGCACUGACCCCAGCACUGACCACAGCCCUUGCUGGGAAGGAUGAAAGUUUGACAAGAAAGUCUCACAGAUCUGUGUGCUUGGCAGAAAGAUUUUUGAAUGUAGAAUCUGAAGAAGGAAUAGAAAUGGAAGCAAGUUUUGAUCUAGAAGAAAAGAAUUGCUGAGCCAGGAUUACUGGCUAACCAAGGAGGCAAAGGGUGUGCUAAGGGGUUUUUAUGACUUAGAGCAAAGGAUAAACUCACCCCAAACAAGAAGAUGUUUGUACCAAGCACAAAGAGAGCACAGGCAAACAAGGCAGCAAAGGUUGCAAGUACAAAAAAGGUCUCAGAAUUUUCCACUGCAAGAAAACUGAAAAACAACUUCGAGCUUCAACUGUAAUGUACUGACUUUUAUUCCAGCUGCACAUGGUUUUCUUUUGCAGACUCCUGGCUGAUUUAGCCCAAAUUUAUUAAAGAGUGAUUACCUACCUCUGUAUUAAUGAUGAUUAAAACCAAACCCUGGUUGAGUUGUGCUGUUAAUGGUGGUUCUCCAAUAAACUUGGUUUAAAGUUUCAAA